AAUGCUGGUUUGUCCGGGUCGAAUGAGACCUGGGCGGCGAAGCGAAAGCGAUAAGCAUUCCACCUGGGGAGUACGCCGGCAACGGUGAAACUCAAAGGAAUUGACGGGGGCCCGCACAAGCGGAGGAACAUGUGGUUUAAUUCGAUGAUACGCGAGGAACCUUACCCGGGCUCAAACGGGAGUGGAAUGGACCAGAGACGGUUCAGCCUACGGGCCGCUUCCGAGGUGCUGCAUGGUUGUCGUCAGCUCGUGCCGUGAGGUGUCGGCUUAAGUGCCAUAACGAGCGCAACCCCCGCCGGCAGUUGCUAACGGGCAAUGCCGAGGACUCUGCCGGGACUGCCGCCGCAAGGCGUGAGGAAGGCGGGGAUGACGUCAAAUCAGCACGGCCCUUACGUCCGGGGCGACACACGUGUUACAAUGGGCGGUACAGCGGGAAGCCAGGCGGCGACGCCGAGCGGAACCCGAAAGCCGUUCUCAGUUCGAAUCGGAGUCUGCAACCCGACUCCGUGAAGCUGGAUUCGCUAGUAAUCGCGCAUCA
rnacentral:rRNA from 1 species